AUUGAACGCUGGCGGCAUGCCUUACACAUGCAAGUCGAACGGUAACAGGUCUUCGGAUGCUGACGAGUGGCGAACGGGUGAGUAAUACAUCGGAACGUGCCCGAUCGUGGGGGAUAACGAGGCGAAAGCUUUGCUAAUACCGCAUACGAUCUACGGAUGGAAGCGGGGGAUCUUCGGACCUCGCGCGGACGGAGCGGCCGAUGGCAGAUUAGGUAGUUGGUGGGAUAAAAGCUUACCAAGCCGACGAUCUGUAGCUGGUCUGAGAGGAUGAUCAGCCACACUGGGACUGAGACACGGCCCAGACUCCUACGGGAGGCAGCAGUGGGGAAUUUUGGACAAUGGGCGAAAGCCUGAUCCAGCCAUGCCGCGUGCAGGAUGAAGGCCUUCGGGUUGUAAACUGCUUUUGUACGGAACGAAAAGCCUCUUUCUAAUAAAGAGGGGUCAUGACGGUACCGUAAGAAUAAGCACCGGCUAACUACGUG
rnacentral:rRNA from 1 species